rnacentral:rRNA from 1 species
ACUCCUACGGGAGGCAGCAGUGGGGAAUAUUGCACAAUGGGCGCAAGCCUGAUGCAGCCAUGCCGCGUGUGUGAAGAAGGCCUUCGGGUUGUAAAGCACUUUCAGUCGUGAGGAAGGUAGUGUAGUUAAUAGCUGCAUUAUUUGACGUUAGCGACAGAAGAAGCACCGGCUAACUCCGUGCCAGCAGCCGCGGUAAUACGGAGGGUGCGAGCGUUAAUCGGAAUUACUGGGCGUAAAGCGCAUGCAGGUGGUUUGUUAAGUCAGAUGUGAAAGCCCGGGGCUCAACCUCGGAAUUGCAUUUGAAACUGGCAGACUAGAGUACUGUAGAGGGGGUAGAAUUUCAGGUGUAGCGGUGAAAUGCGUAGAGAUCUGAAGGAAUACCGGUGGCGAAGGCGGCCCCCUGGACAGAUACUGACACUCAGAUGCGAAAGCGUGGGGAGCAAACAGGAUUAGAUACCCUGGUAGGACAGUG